UACGUAGGGAGCAAGCGUUGUUCGGAUUUACUGGGCGUAAAGGGCGCGUAGGCGGCCUGUCAAGUCAAUUGUGAAAUCUCCGGGCUUAACUCGGAACGGUCAAUUGAUACUGUCAGGCUAGAGUGCAGAAGGGGCAAUCGGAAUUCUCGGUGUAGCGGUGAAAUGCGUAGAUAUCGAGAGGAACACCUGCGGCGAAGGCGGGUUGCUGGGCCGACACUGACGCUGAUGCGCGAAAGCCAGGGGAGCGAACGGG
rnacentral:rRNA from 1 species